rnacentral:rRNA from 1 species
UGGGGAAUAUUGCACAAUGGCCGGAAGUUUGAUGCAGCGACGCCGCGUGGAGGGUGUAGGCCUUCGGGUUGUGAACUCCUUUUUCUCGCGAAAAAGGCACAGUUUUGGCUGUGUGUAUGGUAGUGGGGGAAGAAGCGCCGGCUAACUACGUGCCAGCAGCCGCGGUAAUACGUAGGGCGCGAGCGUGGUCCGGAGUUAUUGGGCGUAAAGAGCUCGUAGGUGGUUCGUCGCGUCUGUCGUGAAAGCCAGCAGCUUAACUGUUGGUCUGCGGUGGGUACGGGCGGGCUUGAGUGCGGUAGGGGUGACUGGAAUUCCUGGUGUAGCGGUGGAAUGCGCAGAUAUCAGGAGGAACACCGAUGGCGAAGGCAGGUCACUGGGCCGUUACUGACACUGAGGGGCGAAAGAGGGGGGGGCGAACAGG